AACGAACGCUGGCGGCAUGCCUAACACAUGCAAGUCGAACGAGACCUUCGGGCCUAGUGGCGCACGGGUGCGUAACGCGUGGGAACCUGCCCUUAGGUUCGGAAUAACUCCCCGAAAGGGGUGCUAAUACCGGAUAAUGUCUUCGGACCAAAGAGUUAUCGCCUUUGGAUGGGCCCGCGUUGGAUUAGCUAGUUGGUAGGGUAAAAGCCUACCAAGGCGACGUUCCAUGGCUGGUUGGAGAGGAUGAUCAGCCACCCUGGGACUGAGACACGGCCCAGACCCGUACGGGAGGCAGCAGUGGGGAAUAUUGGACAAUGGGCGAAAGCCUGAUCCAGCAAUGCCGCGUGAGUGAUGAAGGCCUUAGGGUUGUAAAGCUCUUUUACCCGGGAUGAUAAUGACAGUACCGGGAGAAUAAGCUCCGGCUAACUCCGUG
rnacentral:rRNA from 1 species